rnacentral:ncRNA from 1 species
UUAAUAAAUUUUAAUUUAGUUUAUAUAUUAAUUAAAUUUUAUUUAUAUAUAUAUAAUUAAUUUAAUAUUUAUUUUAAAUAAAUAAAUAUAAUAAUUUAAUAUAUAAUUUUAUUAAAUAAAUAAUUUUAUUAUAGGUAUAAAUUAAAUUUUGGUGAAUUUUUGUGCCAGCAUCAGCGGUUAAACUUAAGAAAUAAAUUAAUAUUAUUUAUAUAUAUACAUAUAAUACAUUAAAUAAAUUAUAAAAAAUAAAUAUUUAUAAUAAAAUAAAAUAUUUAUAUUAUUUAUAAUUUUUUUUGAAUAUAUAAUUAAAAAAAUAUUAUAAUAAAUUAGGAUUAGAUACCCUAUUAUAAAUAUAAUAAUAUAAUAAUAAAUUAGUAUAAUUAAUAAAAAUUUAAAAAUUAUGACGGUAUUUUAAUCUAUUUAGAGGAACUUGUUAAUUAAUUGAUAAUCCACGAAAAGAUAAACUUUAAUUAUAUUUAUGUAUGUUCGUUAUAAAAAUAUUUUAUAAAAAAAUUUUUGAAUAAUUUUAUAUAAUUACAUUUCAGAUCAAUAUUUAAUUAUAUUAAAGAAUAUAAUGAGUUACAAUAAUAUAUAAAUUAAUUAAAUUUAUAUUAAAUAAUUUAAAUUAAAUAGGAUUUAAUAGUAAUAUUAAUAAAUUAAUUAAUAUGAAUAAAGUAUAAAAUAUGUACAAAUUGCCCGUCAAUUCUAUAAAUGAAUAAGUCGUAACAAAGUAAAAAUACUGGAAAGUGUUUUUUGAAAUAAA